AACCAGCACCCACACCGGCCGUUUGUGGAUAAGAUCGGACAUCCCCUAAUUACACGUUAAAUAGAAGCUUUCACGCUGCCCUGCAAAGAACCGAAAUCCCUUUAUCUCUUCAUAUUAAGAAUCGCAUACGAAAUGCCAAGUUCCCAUUACAAAGAUGAAGAAAGAAAUGAUUGAUGAGACUUUGGUCAACAUGAUUCUGAAGGAUUCACAACCCAUCAGUACUGUGGAUGAUGCUGGAGUUAGAGUGCUUGCGAGUAUCUUCCAUCCAACCUACAUUCUCCUAUCCAGUCCAAUCAUUAAAGGGUACGGUGGUAGAAAAAUUUAAGAUUAAAAAAGUGAAAGCAAAGGAAGAGGUGAAAAAGGCCAAAGCAGGGUUCGGCUAAGCCAAGAGCUUCCCAGUGAAGGAAACUCAAUAAUUCAUACCAAGACAUUUGGACAACUCAAUGUUUCAAACUUUGUGGGAACAGUUUGUGGAAGGCCCUUUUCUGUUCCAGCAUGACUGUGCCCAAGUGCACAAAGCAAGGUCCAUAAAGACAUGGUUGGGAGACUUUGGUGUGUAAGAACUUGACUGGCCCACACAGAGCCCUGACCUCAACCCUAUUGAAUGCUUUUGGGGUUAACUAGAACGAACAUUGCAAGCGAGGCCUUCACGUCUAACAUCAGUGCCUGACUUCACAAAUGUUCUUCUGGAUGAAUGGGCAAAGAUUUCCACAGAAACACUCCAAAAUCUUGUGGAAAGCCCUCCCAGGAGAGUGACAGCUGGUAUAGUUGCUUUGGGGGGACCAGCUUAUUGAUGUCAUUAAAGUUCCUGUAGGUGUAAUGGCCAGGUGUCCCAAUACUAUUGUCCAUAUAGUGUGUCUGUGUAUAGACACACACACAGUAUUUAUACUGCUUCCCCCCCCCCCCAUUUAAUUUUAUAUUGGUAUUUGGGCUACUCUGGGAGACGCAUCUCUCUUUCAUUGGUCUAUACAAUGACAAUAAAGAUUCUUGAUCCUGAUCAUAAUGACUCUCAGAAAACAGUAAUAGCAGAGAGAAGCAACAGCUUCUCCUCCUUUUGCACUACCCAUUCGCACCCCAAAGACAUGCUGAAAAUAUACAACAGCACAUUAACUCGCAUAUAUAUUGGACUCUAAAAAUGAAUACAGAAGCACAGAUGCACACAUGGAGGCCCCAUUCGGCAUAUUAGUGUGUUUAGGAGCUCCUUAAUGCACUUCCCAUGUAUUAACCGUGACAAGCAGAACAGUGCCGCACACAUCUCCUGUUCUCAGGGUGGCCGAGUUCUGGGUCUGUAUUGAAGGGAUAUGGCUGCCAUCUGGUGGUCGUUCUGUAAAUGUAGGAAUCCUAUCUCAUGGCCUUUUUUUGGCGAUUUUCUAUCAAUCUCAUCACUGUUUUAUGUAAGUAUAAU